rnacentral:rRNA from 1 species
UGGGGAAUAUUGGACAAUGGGCGAAAGCCUGAUCCAGCCAUGCCGCGUGUGUGAAGAAGGUCUUCGGAUUGUAAAGCACUUUAAGUUGCGAGGAAGGGCAGUAAGCGAAUACCUUGCUGUUUUGACGUUACCGACAGAAUAAGCACCGGCUAACUCUGUGCCAGCAGCCGCGGUAAUACAGAGGGUGCAAGCGUUAAUCGGAAUUACUGGGCGUAAAGCGCGCGUAGGUGGUUCGUUAAGUUGAAUGUGAAAGCCCCGGGCUCAACCUGGGAACUGCAUCCAAAACUGGCGAGCUAGAGUAGGGCAGAGGGUGGUGGAAUUUCCUGUGUAGCGGUGAAAUGCGUAGAUAUAGGAAGGAACACCAGUGGCGAAGGCGACCACCUGGGCUCAUACUGACACUGAGGUGCGAAAGCGUGGGGAGCAAACAGG